rnacentral:rRNA from 1 species
UACGUAGGGUGCAAGCGUUGUCCGGAAUUAUUGGGCGUAAAGAGCUCGUAGGCGGUGUGUCGCGUCGGCCGUGAAAACCUGCAGCUUAACUGUGGGCUUGCGGUCGAUACGGGCAUCACUGGAGUUCGGCAGGGGAGACUGGAAUUCCUGGUGUAGCGGUGAAAUGCGCAGAUAUCAGGAGGAACACCGGUGGCGAAGGCGGGUCUCUGGGCUGACACUGACGCUGAGGCGCGAAAGCCAGGGGAGCAAACGGG